GCCUGUUUAUCAAAAACAUUGCUAUCUGAACUAAUAUAGAUAGUAAAUCCUGCCCAGUGAUUUAUUAAACGGCCGCGGUAUCCUAACCGUGCAAAGGUAGCAUAAUCACUUGCCUAUUAAUUGUAGGCUAGAAUGAAUGGGCUAACGAGAUCAAAGCUGUCUCUAAUAGAAAAAUUGUAAUUUAACCUAAAAGUGAAGAGGCUUUUAUUAUAUCGCAGGACAAGAAGACCCUAUAGAGCUUUAUUUAAAAUAAUACAUAUAACUAUUAUCUAAAAUUCGGUUGGGGCGACCCGGGCCAUAUUAAACGGCCCUUAUAUAUAAGACUAACAAGUCUCAUAAAUAUGAUCCAGUACUACUGAUCAAAGAAACAAGCUACCUUAGGGAUAACAGGCUAAUUUUCUUUAAGAGUUCACAUCUACAAGAAUGAUUGGCACCUCGAUGUUGGCUUAGAAUAUCUUUAUAGUGCAGAAGCUAUAAAAGAUGGUUUGUUCAACCAUUAAAAUUCUACGUGAUCUGAGUUCA
rnacentral:rRNA from 1 species